rnacentral:misc_RNA from 1 species
UCUCCGUUGGUGAACCAGCGGAGGGAUCAUUACAGAGUUGCAAAACUCCCAACCCUUGUGAACAUACCCGUUACAGUUGCUUCGGCGGGCAGCCCCAGGGCGGGGCUGCAGCCUCUUCUCACGAGGCGCCCGCCGGAGGGAUAUAACUCUUUGUAUUUGUUGGUCUCUCUGAGUAAAUUUAUAAUAAGUCAAAACUUUUAACAACGGAUCUCUUGGUUCUG